rnacentral:rRNA from 1 species
UACGUAGGGGGCGAGCGUUGUCCGGAGUUACUGGGCGUAAAGGGCAUGUAGGCGGUCCGACACGUUUUGUGUGACAGCGGGUGGCUUAACUACCCGAGGAUACGAAAGACGGUAGGACUUGAGGACUCGAGAGGGACACGGAAUUCCGGGUGGAGUGGUGAAAUGCGUAGAGAUCCGGAGGAACACCGAAGGCGAAGGCAGUGUCCUGGCGAGUGACUGACGCUGAGGUGCGAAAGCCAGGGGAGCGAACGGG